rnacentral:ncRNA from 1 species
ACGGUGGAAAAAUUUGGCUGCUUGCAACCACUUGAAAAAAUGCUAAAACUG